GUUUGAUCCUGGCUCACGACGAACGCUGGCGGCGUGCUUAACACAUGCAAGUCGAACGGGGUUUAAGAGGAAGCUUGCGAAUCUUAAACUUAUUGGCGAACGGGUGAGUAACGCGUGGAUAGCCUGCCUUAAUGUCUGGGAUAACACUGGGAAACUGGUGCUAAUACCGGAUACACUCAUUGCGACCCAUGUUGUGAUGAGGAAAGGAGUAGUUCCCAUUAUUAUGGGUCCGCGUCCCAUUAGCUACUUGGAGGUGUAAGAGACCCCCAAGGCGACCAUGGGUAGCCGGCCUGAGAGGGUGGACGGCCACACUGGAACUGAUACACGGUCCACACUCCUACGGGAGGCAGCAUUGGGGAAUCUUCCCCAAUGGGCGAAAGCUCGCACGAGCACGCUCGCAUGAUGAGAAGCUUCGGUGUAAAUUCUGUCUUCACGGAUGAAACAAUGACGUACUGAGCAGGAAAGCCCCGGUACUACGUGCCAGCAGCACGGCUAAACUGUCAGGGGACUGAGCAGGUUGUCCGAAAUUACUGGGCAGUAAUGCGCGUAGCUGGUUAAUAAGUCUCAAGUGAAAACUAUCGGCUCAACCGGUAGGUGCCUGAGAAAUGUAGACUUGAGGGCAGAGAGGGGAGUGGAAUUCCCAGUGUAGCGUGAAUGCGUAGAUAUUGGGAGCAACAACCACUUGCAAGGCGGCUCUACUGGCCAUGUUACUGAGUGAGGCGGAAAGCGUGCGUAGCGACUGAUUAGAUACCCCGUUAGUCACGUCCAGUAAGCAUGGGUGCUCAGGUGUAGAGGUAUCGACCCUUCUGUCGUAUUAACACAUAGCACCGCUCUGGGGAGUCGCCACGCAAGGUUAAACUCAGGAAUUGACGGUGCCCGCCAAGUCGGUGGGAGCAUGUGGGUCUACACUACGCCAACGCGAAUGACCGAUACCAGGUUGACAUCCUCUGACAGCUCUUGAAAGACAGUUUUGACUUCGGCAUUGAUCAGAGAAGUGUGCAUCGUCUGUCGAUCAGCUGGUCUGAAUGUGAGUAACGUUCAUCGUCACGAGCGCUACCUCCGUAUCAGUUUAGUUGUCGGUCAGUGAAGGCGAGCACUCUAGAGGAACUGCCGUUGACAAAACGGAGGAAGGUGGGGAUGACGUCAAAUCAUCAUGCCCCUUAUGUCCUUGGCUACCCACGUGCUACAAUGGCCGGUACAAAGGGCAGAGAAGCCGUGAAGCGGAGCCAAUCCCAAAAAGCCCGUUUCAGUUUUGAUUGCAGGGCGAAAUUCGCCUGCAUGAAGUGGGAAUCGGUUGUAAUCGCACGUCAGCAUACUGCGGUGAAUACGUUCCCGCGCCUUGUACACACCGCCCGUCACACCACGACAGCUGACAACACCCGAAGCCGGUGACU
rnacentral:rRNA from 1 species